UACGUAGGUGGCAAGCGUUGUCCGGAUUUACUGGGCGUAAAGAGCGCGCAGGCGGUCGUUCAAGUCGCGUGUGAAAGCCCCCGGCUCAACUUGGGAGGGUCACGCGAUACUGAUCGACUCGAAGGCAGGAGAGGGUAGUGGAAUUCCCGGUGUAGUGGUGAAAUGCGUAGAUAUCGGGAGGAACAUCGGUGGCGAAGGCGGCCUGCUGGGCUGUUGCUGACGCUGAGGCGCGACAGCGUGGGGAGCAAACAGG
rnacentral:rRNA from 1 species